rnacentral:rRNA from 1 species
GGAAUAUUGGACAAUGGGGGGAACCCUGAUCCAGCCAUGCCGCGUGUGUGAAGAAGGCCUUUUGGUUGUAAAGCACUUUAAGCGAGGAGGAGGCUCCCAGUAUUAAUACUACUGGAGAGUGGACGUUACUCGCAGAAUAAGCACCGGCUAACUCUGUGCCAGCAGCCGCGGUAAUACAGAGGGUGCAAGCGUUAAUCGGAUUUACUGGGCGUAAAGCGUGCGUAGGUGGCCAAUUAAGUCAAAUGUGAAAUCCCCGAGCUUAACUUGGGAAUUGCAUUCGAUACUGGUUGGCUAGAGUAUGGGAGAGGAUGGUAGAAUUCCAGGUGUAGCGGUGAAAUGCGUAGAGAUCUGGAGGAAUACCGAUGGCGAAGGCAGCCAUCUGGCCUAAUACUGACACUGAGGUACGAAAGCAUGGGGAGCAAACAGGAUUAGAUACCCUAG